AUGACCCCAGCUAAGACUCCUAGCAACGGUGGAGAGAAUGCCCAAACAGGCCUACCUCUAAUCAGAUUGGUGAAUACCCCAACCAUCCCACAUCCAGUAACUGAUGGAACGGGAUGCCGAGCUCCAGGAAUCCAGUCAGAGGAGGAGGGAACAUGGGCAAGGAGGUCAAGACCAUGAUGGGGAAACCUAGAGACAGCUGAAUCAAACUCGUGGAAACUCAUGAACUCUAGGCCUGAAGGGCCAAAACUCCAGACCAAACCCUCCCCGCCUAGCCUCUAGGAACCUUAGCUCCAGGAGACUGUGCUGUAUGCAACAUGCCUGGGGCCAAAACUGAACACAAAGGACUCCAGACCCCCAGCCUCUAGGAUACUUAGUUCCCGGAAACUGUUCUGCCACAAGAAACUCCAGGAGAGACAAAAACCCCUCUCCUGUAGUCUCCAGGAUACAGUUGUGAAAACUAUUGGUAUCUGUGUACAACAGGCCACCUGCAAGUAACAGACAAAGCCAUAGAAACCAUGGAAUGUUCACUCCCAGCACCAACCAAUGAGAAUAAUUGGUACACGGGUAUUCCAUGCCAAAAUAAGACUUUGAAAAAUUCCCCUAAAUAUCAACCAAUCAGGAACCUAUCCAUCCGUAUGUCUCCCCUCCCGCUGAUGUAACCCUGCAGUUUUUUCUUUUAAAAAUCCUCCAGUAGACAAGGAACUCACUCCCUCUGAAGGCUGCUGUGUCAGCUUGCUAAAUAGUCCCUCCCGUAGUAGGAUAGAAAAUAAGCCUUGUGCAUUUGCAUCGGUGAGUCUGUCUCCCUGGUGGUCUUUGGGGAUCCUUGAGACUUGGGCAUAACAGACCAACAGUCGUGGAGACUCUAGGAAACUGUACUAGGCCCUCCGUAUGUGGGAGACAGUUGUGAAGCUGGACUACCUGAGGGGGCCCCUGGCAGUGGGACCACAAUACAAACCCGACCUGGAGGCUCGGAGAUCAGAAUGCAGCAUCUGGCUUCCUGGUGAGAGAGCAUCCGGGCAAACAUGAGAGGCGCUGGAGCUCUGUUUUCUUCUUACAAAGGUCAGGAGACAAUGAAUGGACGUGCACCCUCUAGAUGCAGAUGACAUCCCCUGCACUUACACAAUACAAACCUGGAUAAACAAAAAUGCACCUUCACCUUCUUGCCUAGGGGCUGCCAGGUGUCUGUCAGUGUUCAAUGAGUGGAGCUGGGAAGGCUUUUCACAGAACACUGUGGAAACCUGAGAUCCACUCACAGUGGCAUCUUGAGGACAACGGGAAUCUGGGGCCACCUCUACACCUGAGCAGAGUUGACACUUCACGCUGCCCUACCCCGACUCAGCAUCCUUGUUAGGAGAUUUGACAGCCUGCACCAGUUUUCACUACUGGAUGGGAGGGAGCUACAGAUACUUCCCAUUCCAAAUCCAAGGGAAGUCGAGCCUACAUGAUCCAUCAGCCUUCCAGGGUGUUCACUGACUGUCCAGCACCAACAAUGCCAGAGGGAGAGAGCCCAUCGUGCCGAGGAGGAGUGGCAGCAGAAGCAGGAAGCUGAGAACCCACAUGCUCAGCAAUGAGCACUAAGCAAAGACAGAAGCAGGAUGAGGCUUCUCAUGGAAAAGCCUGGUCCCAGGGCACACUUCCUCUAGCAAGGGGAACAGCACCCCCAGCUGGGCACCAGGCACUCACACACUCUGGCCUAUGGGAACAUUUCUCAUUCAGAUCACUCCAGGAGCCGUGGUACUCCAUCAGCAUCCACUGAGAGACAGGAAGGAUGGCAUUCAAUUCCAGCCCGGUGAACCAGUAUUUGAUUCAUUUUACAGCAGCUGCAUAAUGGAGACGCUUCACAUGAAGUCCUACCUUCAGUUAACACCCCACCUCUAUACUCUAGCAUGUCUGGAGACUGCUGAGUUGAGGCUGGCAGUAGGGAGUGUCCAGGAUCUUAGAUGUGGUCUGAUGACCCACCCAUUGAGAGGGAAUGUUGAUUGGCUUGUGGGUGAUAUCUCCUUGUACAAAUAAAGCCUGAUUAUCA